ACCAGCUCUCCUGCUCCUUCCACCUCAGGGCCCUCUUAGGGUUGCCUCUUACAUUCUUUCCAGGGCUUAGCAGACAGGAACAGGGAGGGUCGGGUUUAGGCCAUCUUACCCAGACCGGAAGUCUCUAAGUGUUUGAUUGAGUGUUUGUUUGAAGAAAGUGAUGAACCCAGGACCUCGAGCCAGGAAGAUUUUUCCCGGUGAAAAGCAGAGGGAUUGACUCACGCUCGGUUCUGAGUUCCAGGCCUGACUCCAGGGCUCACCAGCUUCUUCCACAACCCGCACAACUUGAACGCUUGGUAGCAUCUCCACGCAGCAGUGGGCACCCUGGCUUCUGGAGGAGCCCAGGCUGCAUUUACCCCUCCAUGGUGCAUCUCAUAGGAUCAACUGGACCCGCGAAAGGCACUGGCUGCGGAAAAGCAGCCAACUGCUCCCCAGCGAAGGGGAUGGCCGGAAGCGAGGAGAGGGAGAAGCCCCAGCAGAGACCCCAGGAGGAAAAGACCCCACAACGGGGCCACUGGGAACCCAUGAUGUUGGUUACCAAUGUGAUUGGAGGUUCGGAACGACGGACGUGUGGCCCUGAAGUGGGAAACAGAAAAGCUGAAGGGCGAGACCUGGGAGGGAGCCCCCCACCCCCGCGGACUCCAGAGACCCAACCUUCCUUCCCUGCGCUCCGGCCGGACGUUCUCCCUGCCCCUGUGGCCGAGCCUGGCACCACUCCAAACCGUCUCCUUGGAAAAGCAACUUCAGCCCCAGUGCCUGUCCCUGCUACACCCAACGUUCCUGUCUGGAAAAGAGUUGCUCUUUAUUCAGCACCAUGAGAAUGGACUAAGAUACACCCCUCCUUCAUCCGCCAUGUGCAGCCGGCGAGCACAGCUCUUCUGAAGAGACAGGAGGUACCCACGUCUCACAUCAGCUUCUGCCCUGUGCCCUGCACAAAAUCCCUGACAUCUUAGAAUACGGCCUGGGAAA
rnacentral:lncRNA from 1 species